rnacentral:lncRNA from 1 species
AGGGGGAUGGGGCUUAGCCCAUAAAAAUAGAUCACCACGGUGGGAACCCAACCUUAAAAGGUUCAAUGGGUAGCAACAAACCGGAGUGUGACUAAGAGGAGCACUAUUUCAUGUUUUCCUCAUCCCUAUGGCGCUAGUGCUCAUAAAAGCAAGCGGUAGGAUGAGUUCGUUUGUAUAACUCUUAAUGAGUCCGAGACCCAAGUGGCAGGUGCUUCCUUGCUAGCUUUCUUAUUAGGACUCACCUAUAUGUGCAGUCGUGAGGCCGCGAUUAUGGGAAAUGGGCGAUUCCCUAAAAAGCACAUGAUAGAUAUCUGCGCAUGGCCAUAACAGCGCAACCCGCUUAGAACCUAGAUCGGGCUAUAUUAUGUGUGCUGUUGAUUUAAUCUGAGCCAUGGACCGAGGUUCAAGGUUAAGACCACCUUGGCUCCAUAUAUGUAAUCAAUUGUCACUAAGUGAAGGUUUAAACCGAAAGGUACCUACACCUAUUACAUAAUAUAAGAUAUCCAGCAUUUUAUUUUGAUUUUAAAAUUAUUUAAGUUUUUUUUGUGGGGGAUUGUUAGAAAAAAAAAAACU